rnacentral:tRNA from 1 species
GCUGGAGUAGCUCAAUUGGCUUAAGCGUAUGACAUUUAAUCAUAAGAUCGGAGGUUCGACUCCUCCCUCCGGCA